UCAGUGCACACAUUUGUAUUGGAGAACCAAACAAUAACAACACUGACACCACACUGAAUUACAACAAAGCAGAAGGGCAAUCCAUAUAUUGCAUAUUUUUUGUAUUUUAGACACAUGAAAUGCAUAUACAGCAUCUUGCCAAAGCCUCUUUUCAAGUCAUGAAAGUGUUAAGCGCAUUAAAUGAAUACAUUUCUACGACUACAGACCAUCAAAGGGACUAAAACAUCACAUUCAUUUAAAAAAAAACAAAAAUCAGUUUAUUCGACCAACCAUCAGUCGCUGGGCAAUAUUAGAUAUUAACGAGUGACGAGAUGCUGAGGAUCUUGUGCAUUUCUGUAAAAAAUGGGCUGCUACGGCACUUACAGUGUUGACCUUAGAGUUUUUCUGAUUCCUAAUCAAAUUUUCCCCAUAAAACCAAGUCCAGUGUAUUUUAUUUAUUUAUUUUCCAGGCUCAAACUUAAAACAUUUGGUAACUGUACAGGUGAUGUUUUGAGUCACAUUUAGAAUCCAAAAAUAAGUUAACCACUAUAGUAUAAAAACGAGAAAACUAAAAACAGUGUCAAACUGCUUAUCUGACAGACACGAAAAGACGACGAUACACACACACAUUGCAGGGGACAUGGAAAAGUUGGCAGCACGGUGUUCUAUGGGUUAGUACAUCUUGCCUCACAGUCAAAAGAUUCACUCGUCUUAGGUUUUGUGACUUUUGACUUUUUGAAUAUUCACGGGAAAGGUUGGCCAUACACAAAAUUAUGUUACCUUUGUGGAUAUUUUGAUUUGAUCCUUUGUACUCUCUCACAAAGGGGCUCCAAGACAAAUAAGCUCUUAAAAUUUCCAUGUAAAUUUCUCCACGGUCCGUGCUUCACUCACUUGACUCUUACAUUAUAAAUGCGUCACUUGUCCUUGUGUUAUUAGUUUCAUUUGGCACGCAUAAACAAGCCAUUGUGAAAAUAUGCACGAUGUGAGGGGAAGUGGAUUUAAAAAGUAAUUUUUUUGUGUGCUGCCAGUCUUUGCUCCUUUUUCUCCUCGAAGACAGUUCCAGACGCAAUCCUUUUCCACCUCUUCUGCCUGAGGAGGAAGAGGAGGGAGCACCUUUUCCUCCCCCUUAUCAGACAAGCUCGAGCAGGAGAUCCUGGAAGGUGUCCAGGCCUCGGCAGGAGUUCCUCAGGGUCCCGUCGGGGGCCAGCUGGGUGCCCAGGAGGAACAGAUUUCUGUCCUCCGCCACCGAGCCCAGAGACAAGGCCUCGUGGAGCUCUGACACGCUCACGGCAUCCGGUUUAUCCUGGACCACCACGGGGAGCUGGGGUUGCACCUCCAGGAGGCGGUGCAGCUCCGACUUGGCCAGCGGGAGGCGGCUUCGGUCGGACGAGUCCACCACGUAGACCAGCACGAAGUUCAGCUGACAAGCGGGCACGCUGAGGCUCAUGAAGUUGAAGCCCCGGGUGGGCCGGCAGCGGCUCCUCUUGGCCCGCCCGGGCGUCAGGCUCUGAAGCACGCUGCUCUUCCCGGCCCCGUCCAAGCCCAGAACCAGGACCUGACGCUUCCCGCGGUCCUCUUCCUCCUGUGGGCGGAUGUAUUGAAACGUCAAACUAGUCAAUUGUGUGUACACGCUGUAUGUCGGCUCUGGCCUUCGUGUGUAUCCACGGUGUAUCCCGCUUCUCUUGCUAAACGUCAGCCGGAAUAGGCUCCAUCUUACCCUAAUGAGGACGAGCUUUAUACGAAACGGAUGGUCUGGGAUGUUGAGGAAUAUAAAAGGUUCUCGAUCUCGCAGACAUUUAAGAUGUAAGAGAUGUCCCCAGCACCGUCUCACAGAGAGCUUUCACACGUCAGUCAUCCGCUUUUUUCAAAAUCACUUAUUCAUGCCAGACGAACGCCUCGAAUCUGUGCGCAGCCAUUAAACAUAAUCAGCUGUAUAAUGUUUCCCCAAAAAAGAGGCCAGGUCAUUUACAUUUUUUCCUCGAGUGUGCUUCCGAUGCCGAGUAAACAGCCAAACGGCAAACAAACAAGGCAUCUGCAGUCCACCGGGGGGGCCAACUUCAAGCUGUGUCAAGCAAGACUCAGACGCCGCACUAGCAGGUCGGGAUUUUCUUCCUGUGCGGCACUAUCAGCGUGGACUUUGUGCAUAGCGAGAGAGAGGUUCUUGCUUCACGCUUCGAGCCAUCUGCAUUUUUAUCAGCGUUACCCGAGCAGAUUGUUGAGCAGAAACAAUACAGAAAUGAUCAGAGCUAUUGAUAACAACUCCAUGGCAACUAAUUGGACAGAUGAUCAUUUGUGACACUAUCAAAACAUUUAGGUAAUUUUCAGUCCUUAAUUGUGUCUUCCUGAGUUUUAAUAGCAUUUUAUAACGUUUGACUUUAUAAAAACAUAUACAAUGGCAAUUAUAUUGCCACAUUUUUUAUUUUAUUUUUUGCUUCAAUUCAACAGACAUUAUGCCGCUGCUCCUGAUGUGCACAUACUCAAAUGUUCGGCUAAGGCGUCGACCUGUGUUUGACCACACUGCUGCAGCAUGCGCCACAUGCACGGAUCGGCUACACCAAUUGACAAGUGUCAUUUGUCGCCUUUGUGAUGAAGCGCUGCGUCCUGGACUGAAAGUACAAUCUGUCUACGGGCGCUCGCGUUUCUUCAAGUCGAUGCAACGCGCUAGCUCCACCCCUGGUCGUCAUGGUAAUGGAAGCCUGUUGGCCCAGUAAAAUGGGGAGAGGGUGAGCGGUGGCUCAUUCAGAUGAGAAAAAAAACACCCCUCCAAAACAGAGUAAUUUUAACCAGACUGACACAAGUGGAUGUAAACCAUGGUGUGUUUCUUUGUCUUUUGUAUGUUUUUGCAUAUUUACUCCCUUGGAAACUAUUUUAAGUUGUGUAAAAAAUGUUUUCAACCUUAUAAAAUGUCAUUGGUGAGAUGCUCUAUUUAUUCUGGUAUUUGGUGGGGUUUUUCCCCCUGUAAAUUGUAAAAAGGCGCGACUAACAAAUGUCCUGAAAGCGCCAGAUUGCCGGGAUAGUAGACCACGUGGAAAAUUCCACAUGCCCACAAUGCCGGCUAGAAAAUUGGAAUCCAUUUGAUAAACCACCAGUAAACUGGGAGCUUUUUGUCUCUGCAUCGGUUCCAGGUGGUUUUGUGUUAUCAACCCCUCAGACCGCAGCACUGUAAGGAAUAGUUUCACACUUGCCUCGAAGGUACAUGAAAUGUGGCAGGCGUAGUUCAAAAUAUGUGACUAGUUCGGAACAAAACAGUUAUUAUUAUUGUUUCUGGGACAUUGCGCUUUUUCUGCAAGAAUGGUGUCAUGGUUCCAUCAGAUUGCUCCGAUGUCAGUCCUAAAUUGGUCACCGGUCAAUCCAUGGACUGGUUGCAAGUCAAGUGCAGAUCACAUAGGACGAAGAACUAUUCACCGUCACGUCUACGGACAGUUUAGAUUCUUCAAUUAACUUCCAAUCAAUUGCACGGCUGGCUUUUGGGGAGAGAAGCGGGGCACACCCUGGACUGGUCCAUCGCAGGGCAUAGUUGACUUUUGGCAAGAGAAGUGGGGUACACCCUGGAUUGAUUGCCUGUCAGUGGUAUGAACCUAACAUGACACGUUUUUGUAAUGUGGGGGUAGCCAGAGUACCCGCAGAAAACUCGCUCAAGCACCGAGAGACAAUGUUUAAACUUCACACAGGAAGGCCGGGAUUCGAAUCAAGAACCUUAACAGCGAGGCAGAUGUGGUCACCACGAGAACACUAGAAUACUUUAUCGAUGCCAUCGGAUCAAAUAUUUUGAUUUAUUUUUAUUUUCUUAAUAUGUGAAUUUCUUUUCGUACAUGUUUUUCUUCCAAUACUGUAAAUCGAUUAUCACGUUAUCACUGCAUCGAGACAAUAUAUUUGUUCAGUUCUCAGCAUAAUGUGAUUCCCAGCACUAAUUUAACCACCAACAGUAACAGCAUGAUUAAAAUCUCCAUAUUUAAGACGUCGAAGUGUACAGUAAUACGGCGAAAACAAAUCAGAAUAGUGCCUUACUUCCUGGAUGGUAGAAUAUUGGGCGUACGGUGCACAUAUUGGCCUCGGGUAGAAGUAGCUGAGGGCGAUGAAGAUCGCGGAGCCCAGCGCGGCCACGGCAGCGGUCAGCGCCACCGAGAUGUGCCGAAGGAGCACCAUGUGUGCGGGGCCGGCAGCCGGAGUGGAGUCGCUGGUUGGCGGACGAGUGCGGACGCCGACUGCCGCUGUCUCUUCUGACUCUCGUGCGGUUCCUCCUCUCGACAUGUGACCGCGCGCUCGCUGCUUGUGGUGUUGUUGUUGUUGUUUUUUAAUGCCAAAGAGGUGCAGGAUGGCAGUGGGACGUUCGAGUGCUUCGCGUAAAUCUGGAAUUCCGAUAGGUACAUUCGACAUAAGGUGCGUUCAAAUUACCUGGAGACACCGGAUUAAGGAGGAAUACUCGGUCUGAAAAACCAUCUAUCAAUAUGUUACGAGUGAUAAAGCUGUUAAUAAGUAAUCAUAUAUUGUAUAUAAUAUACAAACAGCAUGACUGACUGAACUCGAAACUUUCAUCUCCGCACGUUUUAUACAAUUUUAUGAUGUAUAAAUACAUUUUAGAAUAGUAUAUAUUUUACGAAUACAUCUGCAUUUUGUAUAUUUAUAUAUAUUAAGUAA